rnacentral:tRNA from 1 species
GCGAGAAUGGCGGAAUUGGCAGACGCGCUAGUUUCAGGUACUAGUGAAGGCAACUUCGUGCAGGUUCAAGUCCUGUUUCUCGCACCA